rnacentral:rRNA from 1 species
GAUGAACGCUGGCGGCGUGCCUAAUACAUGCAAGUCGAGCGAACAGACGAGGAGCUUGCUCCUCUGACGUUAGCGGCGGACGGGUGAGUAACACGUGGAUAACCUACCUAUAAGACUGGGAUAACUUCGGGAAACCGGAGCUAAUACCGGAUAAUAUAUUGAACCGCAUGGUUCAAUAGUGACAGACGGUUUUGCUGUCACUUAUAGAUGGAUCCGCGCCGCAUUAGCUAGUUGGUAAGGUAACGGCCUACCAAGGCAACGAUGCGUAGCCGACCUGAGAGGGUGAUCGGCCACACUGGAACUGAGACACGGUCCAGACUCCUACGGGAGGCAGCAGUAGGGAAUCUUCCGCAAUGGGCGAAAGCCUGACGGAGCAACGCCGCGUGAGUGAUGAAGGUCUUCGGAUCGUAAAACUCUGUUAUUAGGGAAGAACAAAUGUGUAAGUAACUAUGCACGUCUUGACGGUACCUAAUCAGAAAGCCACGGCUAACUACGUG